rnacentral:rRNA from 1 species
UACGUAGGGUGCAAGCGUUGUCCGGAAUUAUUGGGCGUAAAGAGCUCGUAGGCGGUCUGUCGCGUCGGAUGUGAAAACCCAGGGCUCAACCCUGGGCCUGCAUUCGAUACGGGCAGACUAGAGUGCGGUAGGGGAGAUUGGAAUUCCUGGUGUAGCGGUGGAAUGCGCAGAUAUCAGGAGGAACACCGAUGGCGAAGGCAGAUCUCUGGGCCGUAACUGACGCUGAGGAGCGAAAGCAUGGGGAGCGAACAGG